AAGUCGUAACAAGGUUUCCGUAGGUGAACCUGCGGAAGGAUCAUUACAAAUCCAUCCACGUCUCUCCCCGAGACCACGUCGAAAUGUUCCCCAGACCGGACGGGUCUCCGUCCUCUCCCUGUCCUGGGAGAGAGGCUGAUCCCCCCGCCCGGCCUGGGCUGUGAAACGAGUGUCACGUUGUUGCCCAAAUGUAUCUUGAUUUCCAUCAAACGAAAACUUGUACAACUUAUAACAAUGGAUCUCUAGGCUCUU
rnacentral:misc_RNA from 1 species